rnacentral:lncRNA from 1 species
UGUACAGCAAACUACCCAGAACUCUGGUAUUUCUAAUUAUUAAACCAUCACAAGGACAACUUUGGUACAGAACGUCAAAUGAUGCCCUGUGGGUGAGCGCAGAGGAAAACACACAAUGGUUUUAUUUCCCUCUGGCUGCUAUCUUCUAUAUGAUGUUUACAUCUUGGAUUUGUUUCCUUGGGCCAUGUAACAAAAUACCAUAAAACAGCAGAAGUUCGUUCUCUCCCAGUUCAGGAGGCCAGAGGUCUGGAAUCAAGGUGUCACAGGGCCAUGCUCCCUGGGAAAGAGCCCUCCCACCUCUUCGAGCUUCUGGUGGCACCAGGCUUUCCUUGGCUUGUGGACGUAUCACUCCAGUGUGCCUGCGUCUUCACAUGGCUUCUCCUCUGUGUCCUAAUCUUGUAAGGACACUUGUGCUGUUGGAUUAGGGUCCCUAUGACCUCAUCUUUAACUUGAUCACAUCUGCCAAGUCUCUAUUUUCAAAUAAGGUCCCAUUCACAGCACUUCAACAUAUAUAUCUUCUAGGGGGCACAAUUCACCCGUAACAUGUCCCCAAGCUCUCAAUAAAUUUGUUCCUUACCCUCAGCCUCUCCCACCAACCCAGGGAGUUAGAUUAUAUGAGAAAAUCAAAGGGCCUCUUGGACCCUGCAGUACUGCAGGCUCUUAAAUGGGACUGGUCCUACAGGUGUAGCACAAACACAAGAGGAACAGCAUGGGGAGAAUUGUAGUGGCAUUCGGAGGAAAGGACCACGUCCACAGACUCCUUUCCUGACCAUCACAGAGUUAUCAACAACUACAGCCUCAUCGUAUCUUGCCAGCCCCUCAGAACCAGAGAAUCCUAUUUGUCUCAACCACAAAUAUUUUCCAGUUCAACCUACAUUCCGUACAAGACCAAACGCCAAACUGACGUGGCUGAAUGAAAAUGAAAUGUCUGCAGCAUCAUCUGUGCUCGUGGACCCACAGCUGACUCUUCCCUGAGCCUUUUCUGAGCAACAUCUGCAUGAUAACCCUUACACAGUGAAGCAUCAAGUCCGUUGUACAAACCAAGAGUCUGGCUUUGUAAAAGCAGAAAGCAAACUAAGAAAAAGAUUGAAAAGUGUUAAGUUAAUUAAAGAAGAACCUCAGCCUGUAAGUGCCUCAAGGUUAGGGAAUCGAAACCUAAGGACAACCCAUCCCAAAGAGCCAAGAAGCUUUGAGCUCCAGCCAACCAGUAAUUUCCUGCCUUUGUUUUCUCUUCUUCUCUAUAAAAGUCUCUCUUUUACAGAUCAACUCUUGGUAAAGGGCCCCCCCCACCACCACUUCCAGUUUGACGCUGCCCGAUUCUAAUCAAUUUUUGUUCCAAUGAACUCUUAAAAUUUUUAAUAGGCCUCAGUUUGUCUUUGAACAAAAGUAGUUACAAACAAACCUGUCAAUGUGUUCUACAAUGGUUUUAAUUUGUCUUCAUUAAAAUGACUGAUUUUGUUGAAGCUAUUAAUUUUUGUCAUCUGGACGUGGCCUAUUGGAUAAACUUGGGAGACCAAAUAAACGUGAAACUUUGUGAUGUUCAACAAACAGUGUGGGAGAAACAUAGAAUUGGUUUAAGGUAUGUGCUGUGAAAAGUAAGUCUAU